rnacentral:rRNA from 1 species
UACGUAGGGGGCAAGCGUUGUCCGGAAUUAUUGGGCGUAAAGAGCGCGUAGGCGGUCCGAUAAGUCGGCUGUGAAAGUUAGGGGCUCAACCCUUGAAAGCCGGCCGAUACUGUCGGACUAGAGUCCGGAAGAGGCAAGUGGAAUUCCCGGUGUAGCGGUGAAAUGCGCAGAUAUCGGGAGGAACACCAAUGGCGAAGGCAGCUUGCUGGGACGGUACUGACGCUGAGGCGCGAAAGCGUGGGGAGCAAACAGG